rnacentral:rRNA from 1 species
UGGGGAAUAUUGCACAAUGGAGGGAACUCUGAUGCAGCGACGCCGCGUGAACGAAGAAGGCUUUCGAUUCGUAAAGUUCUUUUAUAUGGGAAGAUAAUGACGGUACCAUAAGAAAAAGCCCCGGCUAACUACGUGCCAGCAGCCGCGGUAAUACGUAGGGGGCUAGCGUUGUCCGGAAUCACUGGGCGUAAAGGGUUCGCAGGCGGAAAUGCAAGUCAGGUGUAAAAGGCAGUAGCUUAACUACUGUAAGCAUUUGAAACUGCAUAUCUUGAGAAGAGUAGAGGUAAGUGGAAUUUUUAGUGUAGCGGUGAAAUGCGUAGAUAUUAAAAAGAAUACCGGUGGCGAAGGCGGCUUACUGGGCUCAUUCUGACGCUGAGGAACGAAAGCGUGGGUAGCAAACAGG